ensembl:lncRNA
AGAAGCUGAAAUAUGACCUAUGUGCAUAAUCACCCAAUUAAAUAGAAUAAAACUAUUGGCUUCAAUAUUGAGUAACAAUGUAUUGACUUGUUGGCUUAAUUUGUGUAAAGAUUGAAUUUGUAUAAAUAGCCAAAGCCAUGCACUUGUUUGUAGAUGUUGCUAAGGGCAAAUGGGGAGCUGGUCUAAAUAUGAACAUCUUCAAGACUUUUGUUUUCACACAUGAAAACAGAAAUUCAGAUUUUAAUUAACCCAGUGAAUUUGCCUGAAAAUAUGCUUCCUGGAACACAGCUAAGUCGUGCUUAUGAUAAAGAUGUGGCUGGAAAGGGAGAUGUCUGCCGUUUUCUGAAUAAAACAAAAGAUUUUGUCAUCGAUGCAAGUUCUGGUGUCAUCACUGCUACCAAAAUUUUUAAUUAUGAAACAGAUCCAAUAAGGUUUCUUCUGAUAGUUGAUACUAGGCUGUCUAGACAUGUUUUGACCAUUAAUAUUAUUGAUGUUCCUGAAUCUCCAAACUGUACUGCUGAUCCCAAAUUUUCUUCAGGCACAGCUACCUUAGAAAUUGAUGAGAACUAUCCAUUAUUUCAGUUCAUUUAUAGAGUGACGGCCACAGAUGAGGACUUCGCAAAUGGUGAUUGGCUGAAUUACACCAUUGAGACACAGUUAUCUGGACCAAAGAAAGGAGCAAACUCUUUUGGAGUGGAUCCUGUAAGUGGUGUUGUUAGUGUAAGAGGUGAAGAUCCCCUGGAUUUUGAUGCUGGAUAUCAUGUAAUUAAAAUGUGUAUUUAUUUUUCCAUGCAGAAUGAAACAGAAUUUGUAUCACUUUGA